GUUAUAUGGGUCAAGUGAAGAAGCGCAUACGGUGGAUGCUUGGCAGUCAGAGGCGAUGAAAGACGUGGUAGCCUGCGAUAAGCUUCGGGGAGUCGGCAAACAGACUUUGGAUCCGGAGAUCUCUGAAUGGGGAAA
rnacentral:rRNA from 1 species